GGGCUGCCCUUCUUUUUUACCAUAUGAUUUAUCAAACUUCUACAGAAAGUUGUUAGUGUUUUCAACAUGUAUCUUCACCUCAUAAAAAUGAAAUUCACUUAGUAUCUAAAGGAACACGACUUUCUUAAUCUUAUACAAUCAGUUCAAACAAAAUUUAUCGCCAGCCUGUCCAGAAAAGUUACAAUCUUUACCAACACGUGGUCACUCCACUAACUUCACGAGAUACCUACCAGCUACAAUCAACAUAGGAGGUACCACAUUACCUACAGACUAUAGGUACCUUUAACUAAUUAUUUGAUCCACACAUAACCAGAAUACAAUGCAAUACGAUACAUUAUGAAACAAUACGUAACUAACAAUCAUCCAAACGAAGUGUAAAGGCAAAACAGGAAUAUUACCGGUUGGCUGGCGUGGAGGAGUGCAGCAGGACCAAGAUAAGACUCAGAAUUCCACCAAUAACUAGGACAUGAAGUACUACAACAAGCACAGAGAAUACACUCACACAUCCCAUCCAACUUAGCACUAUCACUCUUACUCUGAGGUAUCUCCUUCCCAGCGAGUCCGUUACAGUCGUCGAUGUUCAUUGCACAAGAACCACAUACAUGAUCUUCGAAAUGUAAGAGAACGAUCGAUUUCGUUUUUUAUUUUGAUUAAGGCGUCUAAUACCAUUGGUCCGCAUUCCUUUAAAUCGAUUUUGUAUUCUUGGAGUUCCGGUUUUCCGGGAUUUUCUGGAUUCCAUCGGUUAAUUUGAAAUGACUUGAGGUUGGGUGCUUGUCGGGAUUUAGGGUCGGAAGUGUGCGCUCAGGCAAUUAGUAGCUUUGCCGGAGCCGGAGAUGAUGACUGAACCCUAGAAAUUGCUCGUCGGAUUAAACCAGCAGUCAUUGAUGAAUGCUUUGGUAAAUGCAUGUUCUUUUGUUCGCUUUCACAUUACAGAAAAGUUGCUUUUUCCUUUUUCAGAAAAAAUGACAAAAAUGAUCCUUACUUUUAAGUGUGCGUUAAAAAUAGUCCCGGUUUUGGUCUUUUAAGUUUGUGACAAGUUAACAAAUAUGGUCCUUUUUGUUUGAGGGUGAGUUCAAAAUCAUCCAUUAAACAUGCACAUAAUAGUUUUGGUCCUUUAAAAUUGUCAAAAACUAACACUUUUAGUCUUCAGCAGAAUAUGUAUACUGUUAAAUUUGAUAAAAUUAUGAAAGAAAGGUUCAAUUAUAAACACCAAGGAACUCCGAUCAAAUCCUAAAAUAUGCAACACAAAAGCUACAUUAAUUAAACCCUAAAAAGAGAUAAAACCGACAUAAAAAAAAUCAAAAGGCACUGUUGAAAAAUCAAUGAUUCUUUUUGCAAGAAUCGACGAACUUUUAUUGAUUAUUUCUGCUCAAAAUUGCACGAAAAUUAUAUAAGUUUGUAAAAGUUUAAGGAUUAAAACCGUCCAACUAUAUCUAUUAAUCAUGACAAAAUAAUACAACCUGCCACAACAAUUAUGUUUAAGAAAAUCUCAAAUAAAUCACAAUUAAUUGAACUUCUGUUUGUCAAUAUUGCUUCAAUUAGGUAUGUCUAGUCUAACUUUAUAGUGUACUUAGUUGUUUACUUUGUGUCGCACCUUAAAUUCAACCAUAUGUUCCACACUGUGGUGUUAAUAUACGGCUGAUAAUUUCUUAAGUUUGUUCAUUUUUUCCACACGCGUAAUUCUUGCGGGCCACGACUGACGGCAUUUUCUACUGUUCCAGUCUCUCGUCUUGUUUUUCUUCCUUGUGGAAAACAAAGUCAUCAGUCUUUGUUCCAAUGCGCAGAGAAGAAGCAAAAAGAAAUCUCCGCGUACCAAUAAAUACGUCAGUCUUUCUUUAUUUAUUUUUUUGCUUCAAAAAACUUGUCAGGCUACAGCCAAGAGCUGCAAAGUUGCAGUAGUAGUCUGAGAUGUUAAGGUCCUGUUUUGGGAGUUGCUUUGGUGGUGGUGGUGGUGAUGGUCUCCUAUGGCAUAUGGACUUGAAGCAACAUGCCACUGGUGAAUAUUCUGUUGCUGUUGUUCAGGCGAAUUCUUUGCUUGAAGAUCAAGGUCAAGUUCUUACAACUCCUAGUGCUACUUAUGUUGGUGUUUAUGAUGGUCAUGGUGGCCCUCAAGCUUCUCGCUUCAUCAACAACAAUCUCUUCCCUCAACUCCAAAGUAAACUCCAAUCUCCAUCUUUUUUUCCGAGUCUUGUAGGACCUUUACUCUUUUGUUGUUUCUUGUCAGUCAUAUAUAGGUCUAACAGCAAAAGUGUGCUAGUGCAAUUUUUCUAAUUUGUUAGGUGGAGAAUUCUAACCUAUAUAAUUUUUGUAACUUAAUUCUUGAUUGUUGGUUUCUGUGGUGCUUUUUUUUUUUGUUAUGUUGAAACAUCAUGAGAUUGAUCAGGGAAGACUGAGAGAAAACUAAUUUGAUCAUGUGUGGAGUGGAAGAGUAAAGAGGAACUGAGCUUGUUCAAAUACUAGAAAUGUUCACCUUUUGAAUGUCCGGAUCAAUGUUAUUAGAAACACUUGAUAUUGAUUGAAUUGUGUUUCAUUUCCUUAUUAUUUCGGUUAUUAUAGAGCUUGCAUUGGAAGGAGGAGGAUUGUCCGAGGACGUGAUCAGGAAAGCAUUUGAUGACGUUGAGGAAGGAUUUUUCUGUUUGGUGAAACAGUCUUGGCUGGAUCAGCCUCGGAUUGCUUCUGCAGGAUCUUGUUGUCUAGUCGGAGCAAUUUCGAAAGAUAGAUUGUAUGUAGCAAACGUUGGGGAUUCCAGGGCAGUGCUUGGCAGGAGAGUGGAGGCUGGCAAGGCGGGUGAUUCUGCAACAGUUCUGGCAGAACGUUUGUCUAUAGAUCAUAAUGUUGGGGUUGAGGAGGUAAGGAAGGAGGUAGAAGCACUACAUCCAGAUGAUCCUUACAUCGUGGUGUACACUCGAGGGGUUUGGAGAAUCAAGGGUAUAAUUCAGGUAUCCGUUAUCAACUGCUCUUUUCUACUGUCUUAUUAAUGCAGUCGACAAUUUUAUUAGUUUUUUAACUCAUUCAAGGUUACUAACUUUGUUUACUAGCCUUCCUGUUAUUCAGUUUAAGUUAUCUAGAAUUAAUACAUCCUUUUAGACCUGCAGUGGUAAUGAAUCAGACCUCCAAUUGAUGAAGACCAAUUAGACCUUUUCAGAUAUGUGGUUUUGUUACGACUAGACGAUAUCUCAAUAUGAUAAUAGGUUCUAUUCAAUCUUAAUGACAUAUGGUGGAAGGAGAAAAUAAUCAGAUCUCAUUUCAUUCUCAGUUCUGAUUUUCCGUUAAGUUUACAAUGGGCGAUCUGCUGUUACCUCUUAGCAAUCAAGAUAAGCUAAAGAGGCUGCUCAAUAUAUGUUCUAAAAGUAAGAAACAUAUGGAAGCUAGACAACAAAGAAGACCAAUGUCUUUCUUUCUGAACUCUGGUUUGUACUCGCACACAAAUACAAACAUUUAUAUUUAUUUAGUUGGAAAAAGCUCACCUUUUUGUUACUAGAGCAUGUUAUGAGGGUGGUCUAAAAUCUCUAGGGAACUCAAAGUUGAGGCUACUAAACCAGUCACUUUAUAUAUGCCAAUUAUGUUUGUGCACUUACAGCAAGUUGAUCAUACCUUUAGACGUGUUGUAUGUCAAGUCUUUCUUGGGUACCUUUUUUGUGUUUACACAUCAAAAUAUGCUUUCAUCUACUGUUUCUGAGGUUAUAGACUGUACGUUAAAUUUUCUCCUUUUAUCUUCUAAACCAAUCCUUAUAAAAAAAACUGUCACGUCAUAUGCUGAUUAUGUUGGUAACUUGUAUCAAGUUGAUCAUAUCCAUUAAAAGUGUUGUAUGCCAAGUUGUUUUCGGAGAUAAAUAUGCUGUUAUUGGCUACUUUUUAAGGUUUUAAACCUUGUGUAAAAUUAAUUUCUCUUUUUCAGUCUAGUACAAUGCAUAUCCAUUUAGCAAUUCAGGUAGUGUCAAGAUUGAUAAGUUGCACCUAUGAGAUUCACAUCAAGGCCCAAACAUUUUGUUGCACCAGUAGUAAUUUUGUUUUAUGUAUGGACAAAAAGGAAUCUCCUUUCCUCUUUAUCCCUUCACCCUUGGCCACUUAAUAGCAAUUUUUUUUAUCUCUUGGUAACUAGAAUAUGUAGCAGGGGCUGCAUGAUGCUCAUCUUUCCAUCUUGCAUCCUUCAUUUUAACUUCAGCAAGGUUUCUUUGUUAUUUGAAAGAUGUCAAAGAAAUUCUGAAGCUGACUAUUUUCAUUAAAAGUUCGCUAGCAGCCAAUUUUGGGGUCUGGGGAGUAUCCUAUGUUUUGAGAAAAUCCAUCUAGCUAAGAUUGCCUAUUUGCUUGCACCAGGUUUCUAGAUCAAUUGGUGAUGUCUAUCUGAAGAAACCUGAGUUUAGCAGAGAUCCUCUCUUCAUACAAUAUGGAUAUCCUAUUCCUUUAAAAAGACCUGUAUUGUCAGCAGAGCCUUCUAUACUGAUCCGGAAGAUAAGACCAGAAGACUUAUUUUUGAUAUUUGCAUCGGAUGGCCUAUGGGAGCAACUAAGUGAUGAAGAAGCUGUGGACAUUGUUUUGAAGAAUCCUAGAACUGUGAGUAUCGACCCCCUCCUGUUCUAUCAGGUUCUUGAAUUUCUAGAAGCAGUAGCGUUUUGUUGUCUGUAAAUUGGACUUAGGCUCUUAUAUAACUACUCUACUUGAAGCAAUUCUGUGAUCAAACUUAUCCAUGUUGGACAUAAUUAACUAAUGCAUAGGAUAGCUGAUAUUUUCUUCCCAUUUCUCCAGGGAAUAGCCAAACGAUUAGUGAGAGCUGCCCUUGAGGGGGCUGCAGAGAAGAAAGAAAUGAGAUACGAGGACAUCACACGACUAGAGAAGGGGGAAAGGCGGCAUAUUCAUGAUGAUAUCACAGUCAUAGUAAUGUAUUUGGAUCACCCUGGAAGGUCCAUAAAUGCUGGAUCGAAUAUUGUUAAGGGCACCAACAUCCCUCUUGACAUAUACUCCUUGAACUCAGGUCAUCAAGGAGAGAACACAUCUUAUGUUUCCCCAUGAAUAGUGUCUAAUACAUGUAUACGGUAUACGAUUUUGUAAAUACUUCAUCUUGGACUUGGAAAGUUUCUUUAUAUACUUUUAGAUUACAAUCAGAAGGACCAGCCAUGUACGUAUAUCUUAAUGUAUAUGUGUACCUUCUGUAUUGUAGCUGAUAGAUUAAGCUGAUGAAAAAUGAGCUUGGGCUUUCGCUUCUGUUUUUGACUCUUUCCUUGAAAGCUAUAUGUUGUAUUUCCCUGGCAAUUAUACUACAACUGCAUGAUGAAGUUUAUUAGAUGAAAUGAAAUUACAGUUUUUUCAAGUCAAUAAACCAUGAGUAUUCACCUUAAUUCUGGGAUUUGUUUUCCUCGGCGGGAGGAUCAAUAGUGUUCUCACUUCCCCUCUAGCGUGACUUGGACCCUCAGGUUUGAAACAUUUGUUUAUUCAGUUCCACAGGUUUGAAACAUCUGAGCUUCAAAAUUCAUUGGACGAAAUUUGCCUGGGCACAAUAUUUGAGUUGGGAAAUGACCUCUUUUUUAAAUACAUAAGGGUCUAUUUUAAAGAUAAAAUCUGUAGAGGUAUGUGAAUUCGUGUAUAGAGAAUUCAUCCCAGAAAUAUUAACAUAACUUUAAGACAAGCAAAGUAGAAAGUGAGAAGAUUAGGAUAGAAGAGAAGACGAAUUUGAAUUGAACUGGUGUUGGA
rnacentral:lncRNA from 1 species